rnacentral:rRNA from 1 species
AACGAACGCUGGCGGCAUGCCUAACACAUGCAAGUCGAACGAGAAAGCUCCUUCGGGGGUAAGUAGAGUGGCGCACGGGUGAGUAACACGUGGGUGACCUGCCGUUAAGAGGGGGAUAACCAGAAGAAAUUCUGGCUAAUACCGCGUAAUCAUCACAAUUUUGGAAGUAGUGAUAGAAAGGGUGCCUCUCCUUGGAAGCAUCUGCUUAACGAUGGGCCCGCGGUACAUUAGAUAGUUGGUGGGGUAAUGGCCUACCAAGUCAACGAUGUAUAGCUGGUUUGAGAGAAUGAUCAGCCACACUGGAACUGAGACACGGUCCAGACUCCUACGGGAGGCAGCAGUGGGGAAUAUUGCGCAAUGGGCGAAAGCCUGACGCAGCAAUGCCGCGUGAGUGAGGAAGGCCUUCGGGUUGUAAAGCUCUGUCAGAUAGGAAGAACGGGUAUUCAUCUAAUAGGUGGAUGCAUUGACGGUACUAUCAAAGGAAGCACCGGCUAACUUCGUGCCAGCCGCCGCCGUAACAC